CUGCAGUGAGCCGUCUGAGGGCAAGUCGCCAGUCCCGCCCCAGGGCCCCCGUGAGCGCCUGUCCUCCAUCGUCAAGCAGAUAUCCCAGAGCCAGCUCAUCAACCUCCGCAAGAAGAUAAGCGGCCUCAGCAUGAGCCUCAGCGCCCAGGACAACGAUGAGGGGGCCCAGGCUGCUGAUGAUGGAGCUGAGAACACAGAGGAGAAGCCACCAGAACAGGAGGAGCCCAAACCUGAGCAGACCCAACCAGAGGAGCAGCCAGAGGAGAGACCUGACAAAGAUGAACCAGACGCCACCACAGAACCAGCCGCGGAGGUCCAGAGCUCCACCAUAGAACCAGCUGCAGAGGCCCAGAUUGCCACCACAGAACCAGCCGCGGAGGUCCAGAGCUCCACCACAGAACCAGCCGCGGAGGUCCAGAGCUCCACCAUAGAACCAGCUGCAGAGGUCCAGAGUGCCACCACAGAACAAGCAGCAGAGGUCCAGAGCUCCACCAUAGAACCAGCUGCAGAGGUCCAGAGCUCCACCACAGAACCAGCCGCGGAGGUCCAGAGUGCCACCACAGAACAAGCAGCAGAGGUCCAGAGCUCCACCACAGAACCAGCAGCAGAGGGCCAGGGCACAGAGAAUGCAAACCCAGCUGAGCCGCCAGCAAAUGGCACAGCAGACAGCGCUAACGGAGAUGAGGAGGAGAAGAAAGGAGCAGAGGGGGAGGAGAGAGGAGAGGAUCAGGCAAAGGCCAACAGCACAGGGAAGACUCAGGAGGCUACAGAGAAUGGAGAGAAGGAGAACGAAAAGGAGGAGGAGAGUAAUGAGGGAGGGGGACAGGAGAAGAGUGGAGGUAAGGCGGGGAAGGGUGGAGGAGAGAAAUCGCAGGAGAGCAGUGAAGGAGAAGGAGAAGGAGAGAAAGAUGGGAAGGAAAAUGAAGAAGUGGAAGAGGAACUGGUGGUGAGCCCAGAGUCGGAGGUGUCCAUAAACACUGGCAGGGAGUCUGACUCAGAAGAGACAGAUGGAAAGAAAGAGAAAGAUUGACAGAGAGAGAGAGAGAGAGUGAGAGAGAGAGAGAGAAAGAGUGAGAGAGAGAAAUGACAGUAAGACAGAGAGAGUAACAGCAAGAGACGAAAAAGUCAAAGUGGG
rnacentral:lncRNA from 1 species